AGCAGCCGCGGUAAUUCCAGCUCCAAUAGCGUAUAUUAAAGUUGUUGCAGUUAAAAAGCUCGUAGUUGAAUUUCGGGGUUAGUAGGUUGGUCAUGCCUCUGGUAUGUACUGGUCUCACCGAUUCCUCCUUCCUGAUGAACCUUAAUGCCAUUAAUUUGGUGUUUUGGGGAAUUUGGACUGUUACUUUGAAAAAUUAGAGUGUUUAAAGCAAGCUAACGCUUGAAUACAUUAGCAUGGAAUAAUGAAAUAGGACGUUCGAUCCUAUUUUGUUGGUUUCUAGGAUUGACGUAAUGAUUAAUAGGGAUAGUUGGGGGCAUUAGUAUUCAAUUGUCAGAGGUGAAAUUCUUGGAUUUAUUGAAGACUAACUACUGCGAAAGCAUUUGCCAAGGAUGUUUUCAUUAAUCAAGAACGAAAGUUAGGGGAUCGAAGACGAUCAGAUACCGUCGUAGU
rnacentral:rRNA from 1 species